rnacentral:rRNA from 1 species
GACGAACGCUGGCGGCGUGCUUAACACAUGCAAGUCGAACGGAAAGGCCCUGCUUUUGUUGGGUGCUCGAGUGGCGAACGGGUGAGUAACACGUGAGUAACCUGCCCUUGACUUUGGGAUAACUUCAGGAAACUGGGGCUAAUACCGGAUAGGAGCUCCUGCUGCAUGGUGGUGGUUGGAAAGUUUCGGCGGUUGGGGAUGGACUCGCGGCUUAUCAGCUUGUUGGUGGGGUAGUGGCUUACCAAGGCUUUGACGGGUAGCCGGCCUGAGAGGGUGACCGGCCACAUUGGGACUGAGAUACGGCCCAGACUCCUACGGGAGGCAGCAGUGGGGAAUAUUGCACAAUGGGCGGAAGCCUGAUGCAGCAACGCCGCGUGCGGGAUGACGGCCUUCGGGUUGUAAACCGCUUUCGACUGUGACGAAGCGUGAGUGACGGUAAUGGGUAAAGAAGCACCGGCUAACUACGUG